AACCACGAAGAUAAUGCUCGAAAGCAGUGCAGAUGAUGGAGGCCGGGCUUGUGGUGUUUGCGUGGGAAGCAAAGACACCCUCAGGGCUGUUUAUAUAAUUACUUUGAAUUGGGAAUCUGUGACUCUGGUCAGCUGGAGCUGGAGAAAUUGCUUUGAUUAACAAGAGAGCAGUACUCCUGGAGUGAAACCUUUGCUUUACUGGACAAUUGAUGCUAGCUAGCCGGAGGUGUUUGGUGUUGCAAUUCGAGGUGCCUAUGUGACAAAGUUUCAGUUAACUGGACCCAUGCAUGGAGUUUCUGGAAACAAUUUGCUGCCUUUCCCUUUCCUAGUUUCCAUCUCAUUUUCUCCCUGCUUUGGACGCACAUAAUGGGCUCUGGUGGUGCAGCAGCCACUUUGUGAUCCUAAGGGUUCUCUGGAGGAGGGAGAGCCACCGUGUCACGGCAACUGAUGUGUCCACUCUGCAGCUUUUGGUCACCAGGUGCGGGCUGCUUCCAGAGAGAAGCCAUCCUUGGGAUGUGACAGCUCCUGUCCAUCCAAAUAGAGAAGCCACUGUCCUCGCAGCUGGGAGGAUGAGCCUAGGUCACGAACGGUCAGUGUGGAGGGUCUACCACAGAUUCCAGAGGCUGUGGUUGAGCCCCCGUGAGCUGCUUGGUUCACUCGCUUGUGCUCUGUUUCCCCGUCUGUAUUGCAUAUAGGUUCCUUCCUUCGUUCACUUCGUCCUUCCUUCUUGGGAAUAAAUAUAUACAAAA